CUUGCCCCCUGCCGGGUGCGGGUUCUGGACCCCGCAGGCGGGGGCAGGGUGUGCGGGAGGCUGGGGUGGGCGGUGGGCCUCUGGGCCGCUGAGGGGCAGGGGUGAGCUCGGUCCAGCAGCGAAGGGAAGAGAGGAGUUGUCCCAGUUUGGGACGCCGACCCCGGUGAGGACAUCUGGGCUUUGGCCCUGCUCUGCCACUAAAGUGACAGUAAUAGGACUUUUCUGGUGGUCCAGUGGCGCUGAAUCCGCCUGCCAAUACAGGAGACACAGUUUCCUGGUCCCCGGUCUGGGAAGAUUUCACAUACUGUGAAGCAGCUCAGCCUUUGCACCCCAGCUACUGAGCCUGAGCUCUGGAGCCUGCACGCCACGCCUGCUGAGCCCACGCAGCGGCUGCUGAGGCCGUGAGCUGCAGCCUCUGAAGCCUGUGUGCCUAGAGCCUGUGCACGUCAGCAGAGUGCAGCCCUGGCUGCAGCUGGAGAAAGCCUGAACGCGGCAACGAAGAUCCAGCGCAGCUGAAAGUAGCAACAAAACCAAUAAAGAGCUUUCUAAAAACUUAACAUUUUCCAAAAGAAAACAAAUCAAGUGAGAA